ACGACGGUGCUUGUGCACUGUUUCCUUCUUGGAGGCGUUGUUUUUGGAGUACUUGAACAUCAGGUGUUGUCUUGGUGGUGGUUGUGCUGCUAUUGCAAGUACUGAAACUCUGUGGCGGGACUUUUCUUUUUUAGUUUCUUCUUCGUUUUUUGGUUGUGUGCAUCCGUCAUGCCAUUAGGGCAUUACGUUGUUGCAGAGGCUGGGUGUAAUUGGUAUCUCCUCGGUAUUAAUGUAUAUUCUUUAUCGAAAAAAAUCCUUUUCUGAAGUCGAGUUGGUAAGUUUUCCUUAAGAUGGUCAAUGAUACGCUGGUAAAAAUUGAUGCAGAAAGAUGUGUAUGGCUGACAGAAAAAGUGUUUGAACAAAAGAAAAUUUGGGUUUUGAAUUUGAACCAAAAUCUAACCCAUACCUUGAGAAUUUUUUGGAAUUUCCAGCACAUUUUGUGUGUGUGUUCCCUUUCACCCUUUGCCCUUUUCUAUGAUGUAUUUGUGCUGCUUAAUUCCUGUAUAUAUGGAUGUUUGUCCUAUCAAGAUUCUCUGUUUGUUUCUGUAAACUAGUGGUUUUAGUUUGAUCUGAAUCUUGGUUAUUUAUAUAUAUUGACAAUUUGGCAUGUUCCACUUUCUGAUCUGCAAAGGUCUACAACUUCUUAUCAGUUGGGACCAUCUGACGUUUGGAUCCAUUCAUCACAGGACGGAGGCACAAGAACAAGAUUCAGCUCUUUUCAGUCCUUUUACUUGUCCAAGUUUUGCUAGGAUGCUACUGAUUUGACGCGAGAGCUAAGAAGAAUCGACGAUACACAAACCUGAAGGCUCGAUGAAAUAACCUCUGCUGUUUCGAGGGAUAUUGUCAUUCUCGAGAUAUUUAUGCCUGGCCAGUUUAUUUAGAUGAAGCUAUCAUGUUACCUGGUGCAUUUUGAUCAUUUUUUGUUUCAGAGACCUGUGAGGAAAUUUUGCCGAAAAUAAUCUCCAUGUACUGUCAAA